rnacentral:rRNA from 1 species
UGUUUCGGCUAGGGGGCCAUCCCGGCUUACCAACCCGAUGCAAACUGCGAAUACCGGAGAAUGUUAUCACGGGAGACACACGGCGGGUGCUAACGUCCGUCGUGAAGAGGGAAACAACCCAGACCGCCAGCUAAGGUCCCAAAGUCAUGGUUAAGUGGGAAACGAUGUGGGAAGGCCCAGACAGCCAGGAUGUUGGCUUAGAAGCAGCCAUCAUUUAAAGAAAGCGUAAUAGCUCACUGGUCGAGUCGGCCUGCGCGGAAGAUGUAACGGGGCUAAACCAUGCACCGAAGCUGCGGCAGCGAACGUAUCACUUAAAGCGAUUCAGCGGGUUACGAUUGACGGAGCGAAGCGACGUCAAAGCGUAUACAAAGUCGAGU